UGAACCCCAGAACGCAGUCCCGUUUGCUGAUGAGGGAACAGGCCCAGCAGGUCUGAGCUUACCCAGGGUUAUAAAGUGCCAGGAAGGAUCAGAGGGAGGUCUGGAAGGCUGCAACUCAAGUGGUGUUCCAAGGAGACGCCUCUUUGAGCACCCCGUCUACACCCGCAAAGAUGCGCACCGUGCUGCCACUGUCUUUGCUUGCUGCGACCAUCGUCAUCCUCAUGAUCUGCAUUCCUUCCCUUCCUGUGGUCCACGGUCCCCACUGCAAGGACCCCAGUGUCCCCGAGGGCCAGGACAUCUCACUCGCAGCCUUUCCAACGCUGCUUGGCACCCAGGAAGAGCCAGAGAUGGAACAUAAAGAAAUCCAACAAAUAUUUACACUGCAUUUCUCAUCAACAAAUCUGUUAACAUCACUGCCAGAGCCGAGCUCUGUCCACAACUCUGUGAACCUGAACCAAGAAAGCUCCCUCCACAUUUUCCUUUUGAGAACCUCACGCUGCCCCAGACGGCCCAGGGGAGUGAUCAGGACUGGGCCAAGUUGCUUCAGGGACCCUGUGCCGGUCUUUCCAGGUCUGUCGGGGACUUUGGGCAGUGCCUCCAGCCCUUCCUAGGCCCAUCCUUCACUACUGACUCAGAGUCCCUGGUUUCGGGGUCCCUCCAAGGCCCCUUUCAGGGCGCUCUCCCCUCUCUGGGCUGACGUGAAGAAUGGUCUGACUCCCAGACCCGUCCCUACACUCCCACCCUGACUCCCUCCUCACCCACGUCCCAAAUAACCAGGCCACACACCAGGUUUCAAGUAUCUGUCUCUUCCUUUCACUCUCUCAAAAGAAAAAAAUAAAUAAAUUGCAGAAGG